CCUGGCUCCCUGUAUGCCA
rnacentral:siRNA from 1 species